rnacentral:tRNA from 1 species
GGGCACAUAGCUCAGUGGUAGAGUGUGUGCUUAGAAUGCACAAGGUCCUGGGUUCAAUCCUCAGUACCUCCA